rnacentral:rRNA from 1 species
GGAUGCAUACGGUCGUUGGGGCGCGAGCUCCGGCGACGAAAGGCUGGCCGGGGCCAGCCGCUUCUGGAUGGGCCCGCGUCCGAUUAGCUAGGGGUAAUGGCCUACCAAGGCGACGAUCGGUAGCCGGCCUGAGAGUGGCCACAUUGGGACUGAGACACGGCCCAGACUCCUACGGGAGGGCGGGAAUCUUGGGCAAUGGGCGAAAGCCUGACCCAGCGACCCGCGUAAUGACGGCCUUUGGGUUGUAAACCCUUGUCAGGGGGCGAAAGCCGAUGAAUAGUCGGAAGGGUUGACGGUACCCCCAAAGAGCCCCGAACUCCGUGCCAGCAGCCGCGGUAAUACGGAGGGGGCGCGUUAUUAUUACUGGGCGUAAAGCGCGCGCAGGUGGUGCAGUAAGUGGCAGGUGAAAUCCCU